AGCUAUUUCUGCCAUCUUAGUAAAGGCAGCCCCGAGCUGAGGCCAGAGGACUUUCAAAGCAAGGAACAUACACAGAGGAGAAUUUAGAGUGGGAAUGAGUUACCCCCCUCUGAAUUAUUGCAUGGUUGUGCUGUUUGAUGUCAAGAGGCCUUUGCACUGCUCUGGAGUAGAUAUACCAGUAUUUUUCCUCCAAGCUCUGUCUCCCCAUCUGGCUCCACACUUGGUAUGUGUUAAAUUUAUUUUCAAGGAUGAUGAAAAACAUUCAAGAUGACCUAAUAGAUGUGUAUAAAAUAAUGAAGGAAGUGAUAAUGAUGUACAUGGUAAAACAUCUUCUUCCAUCCAAGUCGUUCAACAGCCAUGAAAUGUGGCAGAAAUGGUCAUAACAUAAGCAGGAAUAAAACCCAGUAAGGAUCUGUUUCAAUAAGAGAUAUAAACACCUGGAAAAAAUGGUCGCACUGGGCAACGAGAAACAAAUUGCAGUAGUAAUUUAAGUGCUUUCAAACUGUAUUUAAAAAAAAAAAAAAAAAAAAAAAAAGAAAGAAAGAAACACUGGACAGAAGGAAUGAGAUAAAUAAAACAAGAGAAUAGAAAAGACACUUGAACACAUCCCUGUGCAAGCUGCAUGGGGAAUAAAAGUGACUGUAAAAGAGCAACUGUUUAUUAUUAGCAGUUAUCAUCAUUUAUUUGCAUGAAGCCAAAUGUAAAUGAAGCCGAAGCCAGGUACUUACAGUGCAAUUGUAAGUACAUGCUUGCUUAUAUGCUUUACAAGAACAAAUCCUGCUUUCUCACCUUGAGCAAUGACUGUUCAAGAUGAUGGCACUGACAUAUUACGCUUGACCACUCAUGAAGUAUGCCAAACUUUCAGAGAUUAAGACUUUUACUAAGAACAUUUGCUGCUUUACUAAGAACAUUUGCUGCUUUAAAAAAAUCCUUCUGGCCUCUCAAACUGAUUUCACAGAAUCAUAGAAUGGCUUGGUUUGCAAAGGACCUCAGGAAUCAUCAAGCUCCAACCUGCCUGCUGCAGGAAGGGCUGCCAACAUCCAUAUCUAAUACUAGACCAGACUGCCCAGGGCCCCAUCCAACCUGGCUUUGAACACCCCCAGGGAUGGGAUUUAUUCCUUUUAAAGUCUGAUUUGAGCCUGAACUCCAAAUCUAAAACCUUGAAGAUGUAUAUUUUUCCCCUAAAUCUGAAACUUGGACUCUUCUCUGGUACUGACUCUUAAUUUUGGUGCCACAACAAUUUACACUUGUUAAAUGUGUGACUCUCUGUUUAUUCCCUAUAGACUGAGCUGAAAAAAAGGCAAAAUGUAACCUAUGCCUACAUAUGUUUUGAGAGAGCUUUUGAAAGUAAUAUUAAAUAAGUAAUAUUGUUAAAAGUAUGGAAGUACAUUCCGUUUCCUCUUGAAUAGCUCCACUGUCAGUUCUGUUAAUUGUUGCCCUGAGGCAAAAUGCUCAUGUGUACAGAUAAUACUACCCAAAACACACUGGAUGACAACCCUCUGUUUAUACACAGGACUUCCCUCUGUCCAAGUUUCUCUUCUACGUCAUAACAAGCUGCUUUUCAUGUUGUUCUUGACAGAUUGUGCCUCAGGGCAAGAAGCAGGGUGGUACAAGUACCUACAUGUACAGCUGACACAUGCUUUCAUCAUAUUAUAGACUUCAGUACCUUUUCAUUCUCUGUAUCUGAAAAGUGUAGCAUGAUAUAAAAGGCACAGUAUCAUUAUUUUUAACCAUUUUAUCAUCUAUUUUGCAGUUGGACUUGAUCUUUUUCCAACCUGAACAAUUCUAUGAUUCUACAAUUCUAUGAUGAGUAACAAGAGAUUAACUCAAAUGCUUACAUAUUUAAACUGCUGUUUGAGCAUUUCAAAAUUGAUACUUGCUUGUUCAAGACCUCAUUGCAACAAUUUCAGAAGAGGAUCUUCAGUAUAAAAUACUGAUUUCACUCAUUAUAACACCAGACCAUGACAGAAAUCUCUGACUUAGAUCUGUGCUGAACUUUGGCUUACCUUGAACAAAAUUUAAAUAUCAACAUGUUUUGUUUCCAGAGUAUCUCCAAUUAAUAAAUGCAUUCAUUUGAAAACACUUCACCUCAAGUUCCUCCAGGUCCACCUUUUAAAUAAAGGCCUAUUUUCUCUUCCUGACAUCAUUCGCAGCAAAGACAGAUAGAUUGUGUGCAGAGUUUAUUACAAGAUCGAUCAAGAUAAUUGAGGUAUAAUUUUCUCAGUGAUUUCUGUCAUCAUUUUUAAAGGCAGGGAUGAUUAUGUUUCUCUUUCACCCAUCUGGGAAAACACACAGUGUUCUCAUGUAAUUUGAACAUUUCAGCAAGGAUGUGAGACCAUCUUUUUGGAUGUAACUAAUAGCUCUGCCAUUAGGCCAUCCUCUCUCGAGACUUCAUUUUUCUUAUUAAUAAUCAUCAACACUAUCUCUUGUUCAG
ensembl:lncRNA